UACGGAGGGUGCAAGCGUUAUCCGGAUUCACUGGGUUUAAAGGGUGCGUAGGUGGGUCUGUAAGUCAGUGGUGAAAUCUCCGUGCUUAACAUGGAAACUGCCAUUGAUACUAUAGGUCUUGAGUUUUCUGGAGGUAAGCGGAAUAUGUCAUGUAGCGGUGAAAUGCUUAGAUAUGACAUAGAACACCAAGUGCGAAGGCAGCUACUACAGGAACAUUGACACUGAGGCGCGAAAGCGUGGGGAUCAAACAGG
rnacentral:rRNA from 1 species